GACGAACGCUGGCGGCGUGCUUAACACAUGCAAGUCGAACGGAAAGGCCCUGCUUUUGUGGGGUGCUCGAGUGGCGAACGGGUGAGUAACACGUUAGUAACCUGCCCUUGACUUUGGGAUAACUUCAGGAAACUGGGGCUAAUACCGGAUAGGUGCUCCUGCUGCAUGGUGGGGGUUGGAAAGUUUCGGCGGUUGGGGAUGGACUCGCGGCUUAUCAGCUUGUUGGUGGGGUAGUGGCUUACCAAGGAUUUGACGGGUAGCCGGUCUGAGAGGGUGACCGGCCACAUUGGGACUGAGAUACGGCCCAGACUCCUACGGGAGGCAGCAGUGGGGAAUAUUGCACAAUGGGCGGAAGCCUGAUGCAGCAACGACGCGUGCGGGAUGACGGACUUCGGGUUGUAAACCGCUUUCGCCUGUGACGAAGCGUGAGUGACGGUAAUGGGUAAAGAAGCACCGGCUAACUACGUG
rnacentral:rRNA from 1 species